UACGAAGGGAGCUAGCGUUGUUCGGAAUCACUGGGCGUAAAGCGCACGUAGGCGGAUGUGUCAGUCAGGGGUGAAAUCCCGGAGCUCAACUUCGGAACUGCCUUUGAUACAGCACGUCCUGAGUCCGGAAGAGGUGGGUGGAAUUCCUAGUGUAGAGGUGAAAUUCGUAGAUAUUAGGAAGAACACCGGUGGCGAAGGCGGCAACCUGGUCCUUGACUGACGCUGAGGCGCGAAAGCGUGGGGAGCAAACAGG
rnacentral:rRNA from 1 species